rnacentral:rRNA from 1 species
UACAUAGGGUGCGAGCGUUAACCGGAAUUACUGGGCGUAAAGCGUGCGUAGACGGUUAUUUAAGUCGGGUGUGAAAGCCCCGGGCUCAACCUGGGAAUUGCAUUCGAGACUGAAUAGCUAGGGUACGGUAGAGGGAAGCGGAAUUUCCGGUGUAGCGGUGAAAUGCGUAGAUAUCGGAAGGAACAUCAGUGGCGAAAGCGGCUUCCUGGACCAGUACCGACGUUCAGGCACGAAAGCGUGGGGAGCAAACAGG